rnacentral:rRNA from 1 species
GCGGCAGGCCUAAUACAUGCAAGUCGAACGGGAUUCAAAGUAGCAAUAUUUUGAUGAGAGUGGCGCACGGUGAGUAACACGUAUGCUAAUUUACCUUUAACUGGGGAUAGCCCUCCGAAAGGAGGAUUAAUACCGCAUAAUAUAUUGAAAUGGCAUCAUUUUUAAAUAUUAAACCUACGGGGGUUAAAGAUGAGCAUGCAUCCGAUUAGCUAGUUGGUGUGGUAACGGCUCACCAAGGCAACGAUCGGUAGGGGUCUGAGAGGAUGAUCCCCCACACUGGUACUGAGACACGGACCAGACUCCUACGGGAGGCAGCAGUAAGGAAUAUUGGACAAUGGAGGCAACUCUGAUCCAGCCAUGCCGCGUGAAGGAUUAAGGCCCUAUGGGUUGUAAACUUCUUUUAGACGGGACAAAACCCCUUUACGUGUAAAGGGUUGAUGGUACUGUCAGAAUAAGCAUCGGCUAACUUCGUG